rnacentral:rRNA from 1 species
AACGAACGCUGGCGGCAUGCCUAACACAUGCAAGUCGAACGAGACCUUCGGGUCUAGUGGCGCACGGGUGCGUAACGCGUGGGAACCUGCCCUUAGGUUCGGAAUAACUCCCCGAAAGGGGUGCUAAUACCGGAUAAUGUCUUCGGACCAAAGAUUUAUCGCCUUUGGAUGGGCCCGCGUUGGAUUAGCUAGUUGGUAGGGUAAAAGCCUACCAAGGCGACGAUCCAUAGCUGGUCUGAGAGGAUGAUCAGCGACACUGGGACUGAGACACGGCCCAGACUCCUACGGGAUGCAGCAGUGGGGAAUAGUGGACAAUGGGCGAAAGCCUGAUCCAGCAAUGCCGCGUGAGUGAUGAAGGCCUUAGGGUUGUAAAGCUCUUUUACCCGGGAUGAUAAUGACAGUACCGGGAGAAUAAGCUCCGGCUAACUCCGUG